rnacentral:rRNA from 1 species
AUUGAACGCUAGCGGCAGGCUUAACACAUGCAAGUCGAACGAGUGGCGGACGGGUGAGUAAUAUAUGGGAAACUGCCCGAUGGAGGGGGAUAACUACUGGAAACGGUAGCUAAUACCGCAUACCAUCGGAGCGGCCCAGAUUGGAUUAGCUAGUAGGUGGGGUAAAGGGUCACCUAGGCGACGAUCCCUAGCUGGUCUGAGAGGAUGACCAGCCACACUGGAACUGAGACACGGUCCAGACUCCUACGGGAGGCAGCAGUGGGGAAUAUUGUACAAUGGGCGCAAGCCUGAUGCAGCCAUGCCGCGUGUAUGAAGAAGGCCUUCGGGUUGUAAAGUACUUUCAGCGGGGAGGCGUUACCCGCAGAAUAAGCACCGGCUAACUCCGUGCCAGCAGCCGCGGUAAUUC